CACCCCUCAAACUUCACUGUUUGAUGUUGGGCAGUGCCUGUAGGCAUGCCUCAAAGUCAGCGACGGUUUCAGCCAACCUCAGACGUACAAGUAUCGUUAUAGGGCGCGGUUGGGGCCUGUCUUAACUAAACACCUAAA
rnacentral:misc_RNA from 1 species